rnacentral:rRNA from 1 species
ACGGAAGGUGCGAGCGUUAAUCGGAAUUACUGGGCGUAAAGCGCGCGUAGGCGGCUUGGUAAGUCGGAUGUGAAAGCCCCGGGCUCAACCUGGGAACUGCAUUCGAUACUGCUGAGCUGGAGUACGAGAGAGGGGGGUGGAAUUCCAGGUGUAGCGGUGAAAUGCGUAGAGAUCUGGAGGAACAUCGGUGGCGAAGGCGGCCCCCUGGCUCGAUACUGACGCUGAGGUGCGAAAGCGUGGGUAGCAAACAGG